AUAACUGGUGUAAGGAGGACUGAGUUUAGAUUCACAGCUCUCUGUUUCAGUGAUUUUGUAGCGUCAGGUGUUUGUACACAGGAUCCUCAUCAGUCCAGCAAACCACCUCCCUCAUGGUAUCAAAGCUUCCCUAAUCUAACAUGAAGGUCAAUAAAACCCGACCUGAGGAACUGAGCUGUUCCGUACCUCCUCGUCUCCUCCAUCCUCCGGCCUGUGACCUCCUCCUCCUCCUCUAUAAAGUCUCCAGUCCUUCAGGUCUCACACACAAACAUUUGAGUGCUAUUCCAAAUGGAUUUCCCAAAAGGAAAAACCACACUGAGUGGAAGAAGUUACGCUACAAAGAGGCACCAUCACCCUGGUGAGAUGGUUUAGUGUGGCUUCAGCUACCGUCCUCAGACUCUGCAGAAGCGGGAGAGGGAAACAUGCUGCUCUCGUCCAUCUCAUCACUUUCUUGAUUUUUUUCAGGUCCAUGAGGGAGAGGCAGAAACUCAGCUGAGACGAUGUUUGAAUGUUUCCUGGUAAAUUCACACAGUGAAGAGUCACUGCUGAACCACUGGAGGAAGAGGCGGAGCAACAUCUGAAAGAACUUCAGCUUCAAAACCCACAAGUGAAAGUUAAAGUAGGAACUGCAGCUCAGAGAUGUGUUUGUCUUCAAAGGAGCAUCAAAGUGAGCUCAUCCUCGUCCUCAACAGCAGAGCUUCUGUCCAACACUGAGUGCAGACAUGUCUGCUGCCAGCUGUCUUCUAUCUGAAGAUCAGUUUCUGUGCUCCAUCUGUCUGGAUGUGUUCACUGCUCCAGUCACCACACCAUGUGGACACAACUUCUGCAGAACAUGCAUCACUCAGUACUGGGAGGAUAAAUUCCCAUACAAGUGUCCUCUGUGUAAGAAGGAGUUCUACACCAGACCUGAGCUGCACAUCAACACUUUCAUCUCUGAGAUGGUUGCUCAGUUCAAACAUGAAG